CCUUGCAUUGGAAGCAUGGAGUCUCAACACCUGGACCGCCAGGGAAGUCCUUAAAUGGCUUCCACUGAAUUUCUUAAAGCUUUAUCGGAGGAUGACUGAUGUGUUAAACUUGCACAUGUUUAAGGCGUCCAGCAAGAAGAGGACAUAGGGCGACAGCUCACUGACACUGAUCUUGGCGACGAUUGUUUGGAUGUGACACCAAAAGCACAGGCAAAGAAAGCAAAAAUAAACAAGUGAGACUACAUCCAACUAAAAAGUUUCUCCAUAGCAACAGAAACGAUCAGCACCUAUAGAGAGCUACCAGCGUCUCCAGCACCAUUACAACGAGACGCUGAUCAGUGCUGUGUACAGAAUAAGGCCACCACCCUCCAGGAGCUGACGGUCCAGGUAGAGGAAGCAGAAGCCACAAGGAAUACGGGCUCCGUGCAAUGGCCGUGUUUCUGUGUGGCGGGCAGAGCUACUGGCUAUGGUGAUUCAGGAGCCAGACCCCCUUCUCGGGCUCUGCCGCUCCCGGGGGCUGCAGGUGUACAUGUUAUGAGAGGGUGCGGACACCUUGCCGUCUGUGACAGUGGACAGGUAAUGUAGAGCCUGGAUUUCCACUUCUUCGUGUGUAGAACAGAAGAUAGACGAGCGGAUCUUCUAACACUAGUCAUUUAUAAUGAUGAGUCAUAGAAAGCGGACCACUGCAGGGAAUUACAUAAGAAAAAAAUUAAGGAACACAUUUUAUAUGCAGUUUUUAUAUCCUAGAAACACGUGCAAAGCUUUCUAAGUUUUAAA